AUGUUUCUAACUCUAUCCCUCUCUCUUCAUCUCUGUAAAAAAUCAAUAAAAUAUAUAUUUUUAAAAACAAAAACUCAGUAGCUCUGAACUGCUCCGAGGGCCACAUGGACAGUAACUGUGCAGGCCAGAAAGGACAGGCCACUCGAACAAGUGUUUUCCUAGAUGGACUUUUCCCUCUUAUUUUAUGUCCUGCUAUGAGGUGGGAAAUACAUACAUUAGGCUGUGGUUCCCUAGCACGGUGGCAUGUUUUAAAAUCGAGAAUGAGAUCUAUCACACUGGAACUUCUGUUCCUUCUGGAGGUCAAGCAAUCUUCAAUCCAGGUGAAACGCUAUUGGUCGGGUGUUCUGUCAGCUCUAGCCAACCAGCUUCCAAGCCUGAAGCGCUGUGGGUGGCAGGAGAAGCACCUGGAAACGAGGAUGGUGAGGGCGACUCCAGCCACGGCUGACUGGGCCUUUCCAUCACAGAGGCUGAGGGGAGCACAGCCCAGCCCUCAGGCCUCCAGAGCUCGUGCUGGGCCCUGCACUGCGCUGUCUAGUUUCUAGUGUUAUUGUUGAACAAAAUAAGAUUUCCAAAUUCAUUACGAACUACGUAAUCCAGCGAUAUUUCAAAGAGCAUUCUUUGCUAGCUUCCUGAUAAACAAAAGGCACUCCAGUUAGAGCUGGGUCAUCUGCCUUGUAGCUUUGCUUUCUCUUUUCCCCUCCUGGGUACCUCGGGGACCAGGUCACAGAGAGAGCCUUUGAGUGCGAUGGUGAGCUCUUCCUCUAUGACGCGGGCCUCUUCCAAGGAAAACAUUUGGCUAAGUGCUUACGGCCCCGGGAGAUAAACUAUCAGCUUGUUACAGCUAAAAGUAGUGAUCUGGCAUCCUGCGAUGGGGAAAUAGCAACAGUUUGGCACUAGGCAAACUGGAAGUUAUCUAGAAAAUCCUGGAGCUCAGGCAUCUGUGGCCAGCUCACUAGUCAACAAAAGGAUAGCUGUGGCGAAUCUACGGGGACUGUAUCAAACCCAGAGAUGCUCCCCGGGAAAGUGACAGGGAAAGGAGAAUUGAGUUGGCACCCUCCUGCCGUGUCUAAGCGGAGCUGGUUAGGUUUGCUGAGUGCAGUGGCAGCCGCUGCUGUAAAAGGAGCGAUGUGAACUUCCCAGUAACCUCAGGGCCAGGAAGGAUGCAGGCAGCAGGACCGUGCCUCCUGCGCUCCCCGGGGCAGAGGGCCCCUGCCGUGACUCUGGAAGCAGAGCAUGUGGCAUAAGCGUGAUGAUCCUGGCCCUGUACCCCAAGAUGAGCCAAUGCAGCUAGAGGACCCCGAGUGGCUUAGUCAUUUUUUAAAAAUGGAUAAAUGAUUGUCCCUUAAUAGAUUGCUUUGGAUACAAUAGUUUAAGUUAAAAUAGUGCACAUAUACAGAAUAUCUUUGCUAAAAUGUUUAGUUUAAGUGACAAAUAUAAUAGUUUUCUUUAUUAAAUUUCUAAAUGUUGAAAUUAAGGGGAAUGCUAGAGUCACAUCCAAAAGGACAAUCUAUCCCAUGCCGACUUUCUACUACCUCUGCCCAGACUCCCCACAGCACAGGUUUCCUCUCCCACGGUUUGGUCUGCAUCCUGAUUAUCCCAUCGUGGGGUCCUUGUUUCCAGAUGGAUUUAUUAUUAUUGGGCCUCAGAACAGAAUUCUGAAAAGAACAGAAUGAGCUGAUG